rnacentral:rRNA from 1 species
UACGGAGGGUGCAAGCGUUAAUCGGAAUUACUGGGCGUAAAGCGCGCGUAGGUGGUUCAGUAAGUUAGGAGUGAAAGCCCCGGGCUUAACCUGGGAAUUGCUUCUAAAACUGCUGAGCUAGAGUACGGUAGAGGGUGGUGGAAUUUCCUGUGUAGCGGUGAAAUGCGUAGAUAUAGGAAGGAACAUCAGUGGCGAAGGCGACCACCUGGACUGAUACUGACACUGAGGUGCGAAAGCGUGGGGAGCAAACAGG